UGGAGCGGUGGUACCGCGCUGUCCUGGCCCCUCACCUGGCCCAGGUUGCUGGCCCAGCCGCACGUGUGGAUGGCCGCAGAUGACAGGGAGGCACCAGCAUGUGCAAGUGACACUCGGGAGCUGCGGCCCUUCGGCCAGUCCCCAGGGCCCAGCACAGAGCCUGCCGCUGUCACUGCUGUGACUCACACCUGCCGCGAGCAGGGACUGCACCGGAGGGUCCCACUGCCAUUGGAAGUGCGGGGUCUCCUGGAAAACAGGGAGACGUGGUAUGUCGGCCUCCGCACAGUCGGAUCAUAAGGGCUUUGCAGUUCCUCUGACUCAGUGCAUUCGGCCCUCAUGUCGGCUGUGAGGUCCCAAUCCCUUCCCCACUCUCGUCACACGUGCAGAGCUCAGAAAACAAACAGACUGAGGCUAGGGGCAUGUCCACAAGAAAUUAGCAGCUUUCACCUGAACUGCAGAAGGGAAAGGAAACCACGUCUCUGGUGACAAAGUCAACCCCACGACCUUGGACGCAGGGACCCAUGGAUGAGAAGGACACAGUUUUCUAGCCUUCUGCCCUCAGCCAGGCACAGGCAGACGGGCGGCAGUCGCGGAAGAGACUCAGCUCGUGUCGUCGGUGAGGGGCCCGCUGACAGUGUAACCGAAAGGUCACAGGAAGUGCCGCAGACCCGGAGGAAGGAAGGGGUUUGGAAAACUGAGCAACGGGGAACAGGGACUGUUUUUGGCGAGGAGACGGGUGCCUGCCCCAGGAAGAUGUCCCGGGAAGGAGGGCUCGUGUGGAGCGGAGGAGACAGUGCACUUUCUUCCUGGAGGUUACGAGUCCUAUGACACGCUGGGCAUGUGCACCAGGCACGUCUGCCCGUCGAGUCUGCAAGCCCCCCUCAGUGACCUUUACAAGUCAAGUUGUUGUGUGGGCUCUGCAAGAACAUAGGGACCCAGCUGCCCUCCCAGGCCGCUCCCUGGAACAUCUGUGCCGUCUCCUGACAGGUUUGUGGGAGACCCGGCGACAGAGGCUCCGCUCUCAGCCUGCGCCCCGUGCCGCUGUUCUGAGCAGACUGUCUACACGCUCGUGCCACGUUCUGGCAAACGGGACGGGCUCAGGAAUCCCGCGACAGUGCUGGACACUGAGGCUGAGCGGCGGGAAGGCGCCGUCCCAGCCUCCCCUGUGCGCCCUCCGGACAGAACUCUGAGCAGGACUCAACCACCUGCCGCCCAG